rnacentral:snRNA from 1 species
GUGCUCACUUUGGCAGCACAUAUACUAAAAUUGGAACAAUACAGAGAUGAUUAGCAUGGCCCCUGUGCAAGGAUGACGUGCAAAUUUGUGAAGUGUUCCAUAUUUUU